rnacentral:rRNA from 1 species
GACGAACGCUGGCGGCGUGCUUAACACAUGCAAGUCGAACGGUAAGGCCCCAGCUUGCUGGGGUACACGAGUGGCGAACGGGUGCGUAACACGUGGGCGACCUGCCCCGCACUUCGGGAUAAGCCUGGGAAACUGGGCCUAAUACAGGAUCGGACCGCACCGAGGGGGUGAGGUGGAAAGUUUUUCGGCGUGGGCUGGGCCCGCGGCCUAUCGGCUUGUUGGUGGGGUAAUGGCCUAAGAAGGCGGCGACGGGUAGCCGGCCUGGGAGGGUGGACGGCCACAUUGGGCCUGAGACACGGCCCAGAGUCCUACGGGAGGCAGCAGUGGGGAAUAUUGCACAAUGGGCGGAAGCCUGAUGCAGCGACGCCGCGUUGGGGAUGACGGCCUUCGGGUUGUAAACUCCUUUCGCCAUCGACGAAGGUUUUCUGACGGUAGAUGGAGAAGAAGCACCGGCUAACUACGUG